rnacentral:rRNA from 1 species
AAUGAAACUUCGGUAGAUUUUAAGAUGUAAGGCGGCGGACGGGUGAGUAACGCGUAGGCAACCUGCCUUAUGCAGAGGGAUAGCCAUUGGAAACGAUGAUUAAAACCUCAUAACGCCGGAGAGUCACAUGGUUUUCCGGCCAAAGAUUUAUCGGCAUAAGAUGGGCCUGCGUCUGAUUAGUUAGUUGGUGGGGUAACGGCCUACCAAGGCGACGAUCAGUAGCCGACCUGAGAGGGUGAUCGGCCACAUUGGAACUGAGACACGGUCCAAACUCCUACGGGAGGCAGCAGUGGGGAAUAUUGCACAAUGGGCGAAAGCCUGAUGCAGCAACGCCGCGUGAAGGAAGAAGGCCUUCGGGUCGUAAACUUCUGUCCUAUGGGAAGAAAAAAAUGACGGUACCAUAGGAGGAAGCCCCGGCUAACUACGUGCCAGCAGCCGCGGUAAUACGUAGGGGGCGAGCGUUAUCCGGAAUUAUUGGGCGUAAAGAGUGCGUAGGUGGUAACUUAAGCGCGGGGUUUAAGGCAAUGGCUUAACCAUUGUUCGCCCUGCGAACUGGGAUACUUGAGUGCAGGAGAGGAAAGCGGAAUUCCUAGUGUAGCGGUGAAAUGCGUAGAUAUUAGGAGGAACACCAGUGGCGAAGGCGGCUUUCUGGACUG